rnacentral:rRNA from 1 species
GACGAACGCUGGCGGCGUGCCUAACACAUGCAAGUCGAACGGAAAGGCCCUGCUUUUGUGGGGUGCUCGAGUGGCGAACGGGUGAGUAACACGUGAGUAACCUGCCCUUGACUUUGGGAUAACUUCAGGAAACUGGGGCUAAUGCCGGAUAGGAGCUCCUGCUGCAUGGUGGGGGUUGGAAAGUUUCGGCGGUUGGGGAUGGACUCGCGGCUUAUCAGCUUGUUGGUGGGGUAGUGGCUUACCAAGGCUUUGACGGGUAGCCGGCCUGAGAGGGUGACCGGCCACAUUGGGACUGAGAUACGGCCCAGACUCCUACGGGAGGCAGCAGUGGGGAAUAUUGCACAAUGGGCGGAAGCCUGAUGCAGCAACGCCGCGUGCGGGAUGACGGCCUUCGGGUUGUAAACCGCUUUCGCCUGUGACGAAGCGUGAGUGACGGUAAUGGGUAAAGAAGCACCGGCUAACUACGUG